rnacentral:rRNA from 1 species
AUACGGAGGAUGCAAGCGUUACUCGGAAUCACUGGGCGUAAAGGACGCGUAGGCGGGAUGCCAAGUCUGAUGUGAAAUCCUAUGGCUCAACCAUAGAACUGCAUUGGAAACUGGUAACCUAGAGUAUGGGAGGGGGAGAUGGAAUUAGUGGUGUAGGGGUAAAAUCCGUAGAUAUCACUAGGAAUACCGAAAGCGAAGGCGAUCUCCUGGAACAUUACUGACGCUAAGGCGUGAAAGCGUGGGGAGCAAACAGGAUUAGAAACCCCGGUAGUCC